rnacentral:snRNA from 1 species
AGAUGUGAGGGCGAUCUGGCUACGACAUCUGUCACUCCAAUGAUCGCCAGGGUUGAUUCCGCUGAUCUGGCUGGCUAGGCGGGUGUCCCCUUCCUCCCUCAGGGCUCCAGGUGCAUCCCUCCGGCAGCUGCGUGCUCCUGAGAAUAGAGAAGGACUGGUAUGGAGGGUAUAAGAGUAGCUGUGCUCCCUUGCUAGAACCUCCAAACAAGCUCUCAAGAAAUGUGGGAUUCUUUUGUUAUUAUUUAAAUUCUUUAUUGGGGGAUUAAUGUUUUACAUUCGACAGUAAAUACAAUAGUUUAUGCAUGCAUAAUAUU